rnacentral:lncRNA from 1 species
UGUGCAGGUGGCAUGGGUUAGGAGGUUAGCCCCAGUCAGGCAUGGAGGAGACCCCGAGAGCCAGGCUGGCCUCCCAGGCAACCCCUCAGAGUUCCAGGUUCCAAAUCGCCAUGAGGCAAAGAAGGCUUGGGAAGAUCUCAGCAUGACUACAGCAGUGCGGUGCUUUCUGGAAACAGACGAGUCCUGUACAACAUGUCACUUGAUAGUCCACAUCUUGGGGGAUGGGGAGAGACGGAGCAUGAGGUCUCCAUGGCUGAGAAGAGAAGCAGGAGGAAGCUUUUCAGGUCCUGCAGAAGCUAGAUGCCUUUCAUGCACUGUCUGGCUGUUCUGAAGUCUGACG